GGUGGGUUGGCUCAGUGGUUAGAGCGUAGGUCUCGUAUCCGAGAGGUUGCGGGAUCGAAUCCUUCUAGAGGCUG
rnacentral:tRNA from 1 species